rnacentral:rRNA from 1 species
UACGUAGGGACCGAGCGUUGUCCGGUAUCAUUGGGCGUAAAGAGCGUGUAGGCGGCCACUUAAGUCCUGCGUGAAAUCUUGCGGCUCAACCGCAGGCGGUCGUGGGAAACUGGGUGGCUAGAGUGCGGGAGAGGAGAGUGGAAUUCCUGGUGUAGCGGUGGAAUGCGCAGAUAUCAGGAAGAACACCCGUGGCGAAGGCGGCUCUCUGGAACGCAACUGACGCUGAGACGCGAAAGCGUGGGGAGCAAACAGG